AGCUAUCAAUAUCUGAGGGGCCGCCUUCUUCUGAAUCAAGGCGCAAUUGCUGCUGGUUUAAAUAAGAACAGUAGGGAAAGCCAGAGUGUGUGUAACCAGGUGGCUGUGGCAAUGAAACACCAGAUGUUGCCUGCGACAUCACAGGACCACUCCCUGGGGGCGGGACUCAGAGCAUGUUACUGGAGUAACAUUCGGCACAUCACCCGCCUACUCCCCAUUGCCAGUGGCUCCAGAUGCUGCAGACCGUCCUUCACAGCAGGAUGAGGAAACCUCAUCUCCAGGGACAGCCAGUCGCCGUUGAUCUUAGAAAGUUGCAAUCCUAUCUUGCAAUUGCUAGUUAGAGCAAAUAGACAAGAGAGACAGCAAAGCAAAAAAAACGACACACAACCGAGAAGCAGAGACAGACACCAGAACUCUGGAUCCCAGCCAACAACACAAGACCAUGGGCCCCAGAUAUGCCUGUCUCUUCAUCGAGCACCUGGAACAGUCCAUCUUCUGCAACUCCACUGGCAGCAUUUCCCUACCUUUUCCUCAGCAACAAGUCACCGGAUUGCAACAGCUCCUGGUCCACCCUCGAGGCCACUACCAUCAAUGCCUGCAAAAACUCGGUCGGUUCAUUAACCUGUAAACAGGAAAUACGAGAACUGAUAAACCAGAAGCACAUCACAUUUCUGAAUGUAUAACAGCAACCACACUCAGGAGAGAAAAGGCAGACCCACAGGCGACUGAAUGCCAGGGUCCAACAAUGAACCUGUGACAUAAGGAACAGGUGGUGGGUGGGAAAAGCACUUGAGAGCCAAUGAAUGGCCAACAGCCAUAGUGUGAAGGAUUUCUUUGGGGGUGUCAAGACCAAAUAACCAAUGCUUUCCCCCCCCCCCCCCAAGGACAGAGUGAAACUUAUUAAAGACACAGCCAUCAAACAACGCUGAGGAUAGCAGCAUGCUACACACCACGAGCUUGGCAACACCCCAGCCCCAAACGAAGAGAAGAUUGUUCACCAGCUCAGGAACAACAAAGCUGCUGGUGUGGACAGUAUCCCUGCUAAGGCUUUAAAGUGCGGGGGCACCCAGCUCCCAGUACAGUGGCACACCUUUGUCUGCCUUAACUGGAAGGAGGAGAAUGUACCGGGUGAGUUUCAAGAUGCCACAAUUGAGAGUAUUUUCAAAAAGGGAAUACGUCUGACUGUGGAAACUACAGGGGAAUCUCCCUGCUGUCAAUCAUUGGAAAAGUCAUCACCAAGAUUCUCUUGAACUGCCUCCUCCAUGUGCCUGAGGAACACCCCCCAUCCUCUGGAACUGCAGUGUGGCUUCCAGUCAUGGGGCACAAUGGACAUGCUUUUCGCCUUGCAACAGCUGCAGGAGAAAUGCAGAGAAAACAUGGCCUUGUACAUGGCCAUCUUUGACCUUACAAAGGCCUUUGACACGGUCAAUUGGGAAGCAUUAUGAAGUGUCCUUCUCCACUUUCGCUACAACAUGAAAUUUGUCAAGAUCCUUCACCUGUGCGAAAAAGACAUUUAAAUCGCGGUAAUGACAAAUGGCUCCAUCACCGACCCAUU